AUGGCGCAUUUCCAGGGCCAGCAGCACGGCCACCCGGCCACCCGCGUCGACGAGUACGGCAACCCUGUGACGGCCGGCCACGGCGUCACCGGGACCGAAGGCUUGGGGCACUUCCAGGGCCACGGCCAGCAGCACGGCCACCCCACCACCCGCCUCGACGAGUACGGCAACCCGGUGACCGCCGGCCACGGCGUUGGGCUGGGAUCCACCGGCACGGGAGUGCACGGCGCUGGGCACGGUGGGUACGGGUCUACCGGCACCGGCGCCCAGGUGGGAUACGGUGCCACUGGCACAGGCACCCACGACGCUGGGGGCUAUAGAGGCUCUGGAAUUGCCCCUCGGCACGGCGCCACCGACGCUGGGUUUCACGACGCCGGUGGUUUGGACACGCGGCAUGCCGCGACCGGUACCCACGGCACAGGGCACACCGCCGGCCUCGGCGGCACCGGCACAGGGAUGACCGGGACCCAUGGCACAGGCCACACCGCCGGGCUCGGCGGCACCGGCACAGGGGUGACCGGGACCCAUGGCACAGGCCACACCGGCACAGGGAUGACCGGGACCCAUGGUACAGGCCACACCGCCGGGCUCGGCGGCACCGGCACAGGGAUCACCGGGACCCAUGGCGCAGGCCACACCGGCAUAGGGAUGACCGGGACCCAUGGCACAGGCCACACCGCCGGGCUCGGCGGCACCGGCACAGGGAUCACCGGGACCCAUGGCACAGGGCACACGGCCGGGUACGACGCCACCGGCACCGGGAUCACCGGGACCCAUGGCACAGGGCACACGCCCGGGUACGGCCCGACCGGCACCGGGAUCACCGGGACCCACGGCGCCGCUGGCACACACCCUCAUGGUGGGCUACCCGAGCACAAGACUCGUGGCAUCCUCCACCGCUCUGGCAGCUCCAGCUCCAGCUCGUCAUCCUCCGAGGACGACGGGAUGGGCGGCAGGAGGAAGAAAGGCAUGAAGCAGAAGAUCAAGGAGAAGCUCCCCGGCGGUAACAAGGAGCAGACCACAGCCACCGGCGGCUACGGGCCAGGGUACACGGGGACCACCGGCACAGGUGGGCCAGGGUACACGGGGACGACCGGCACCGGCGGGACCUACGGAACCACUGAGGGGACACACGAGAAGAAGGGCGUCAUGGAGAAGAUCAAGGAGAAGCUCCCUGGCGGGCACAAGGACACCCAGCCGCACACCACCGCGACAGGCGGCUACGGGCAUGGCACCACUGGCACCGGCGGCGGCUAUGGUACAGGCACCACCGGCACCGCGGGGACGCACGGCGCCACUGAGGGCACCCACGAGAAGAAAGGCAUGAUGGAGAAGAUCAAGGAGAAGCUCCCCGGCGGCCACCACUGA
rnacentral:rRNA from 1 species